GACGAACGCUGGCGGCGUGCUUAACGCAUGCAAGUCGAACGAUGAAGCCGGAGCUUGCUCUGGUGAAUUAGUGGCGAACGGGUGAGUAACACGUGAGUCACCUGCCCUUGACUCUGGGAUAACUGCGGGAAACUGUAGCUAAUACCGGAUACGACCCUCGGAGGCACCGCCUGGGGGUGGAAAGAAUUUCGGUCAAGGAUGGACUCGCGGCCUAUCAGCUAGUUGGUGAGGUAAAGGCUCACCAAGGCGACGACGGGUAGCCGGCCGGGGAGGGUGACCGGCCACACGGGGGCUGAGACACGGCCCAGACUCCUACGGGAGGCAGCAGUGGGGACUAUUGCACAAUGGGCGCAAGCCUGAUGCAGCAACGCCGCGUGAGGGAUGACGGCCUUCGGGUUGUAAACCUCUUUUAGCAGGGAAGAAGCGAAAGUGACGGUACCUGCAGAAAAAGCACCGGCUAACUACGUGCCAGCCGCCGCCGUAA
rnacentral:rRNA from 1 species